UACGGGGGGAGCAAGCGUUGUUCGGAUUUACUGGGCGUAAAGGGCGCGUAGGCGGUCAGCACAAGUCAGUUGUGAAAUCUCCGGGCUUAACUCGGAAAGGUCAACUGAUACUGUGCGACUAGAGUGCAGAAGGGGCAACUGGAAUUCUCGGUGUAGCGGUGAAAUGCGUAGAUAUCGAGAGAACACCUGCGGCGAAGGCGGGUUGCUGGGCUGACACUGACGCUGAUGCGCGAAAGCCAGGGGAGCGAACGGG
rnacentral:rRNA from 1 species